GUUCCUAAACCUGUUUGGACUGGGCUGCCCACUCGUUCCCAAAGCUGCGCUUGCAGCCACGGUUUUCUCCUUCUAGGGGCCAUCAUGCGUGUCCACAGCCCUCCCCGCGAUUCGAAGGAGCCUUGAACACGCUGGCUCAGUCCAAGGGACUCUCAAGAGUCUUCUCCAACACCACAGUUCAAACACGCUGGCUAGAAGAUCGGAAAACGUGGAUGCGACGAGGU